UACGUAGGGGGCUAGCGUUAUCCGGAAUUACUGGGCGUAAAGGGUGCGUAGGUGGUUCGUUAAGUCUGAUGUGAAAGCCCUGGGCUCAACCUGGAAAUUGCAUUGGAUACUGGCGGGCUAGAGUGCGGUAGAGGGUAGUGGAAUUCCCGGUGUAGCAGUGAAAUGCGUAGAUAUCGGGAGGAACAUCCGUGGCGAAGGCGACUGCCUGGACCAGCACUGACACUGAGGCACGAAAGCGUGGGGAGCAAACAGGAUUAGAUACCCCGGUAGUCCCU
rnacentral:rRNA from 1 species